rnacentral:misc_RNA from 1 species
AGAAGAAGAAGAAGAAAUGGGAUGACAAAAUACUAUUAGUAGUAAUAGUACUGGCAGCAGCAGCAAUAAAUAACUUGGAGUGUUAGUGGUAGUGGCUGUUGAAAUUUAGAAUAAUAUAAAAGAUGGGAGAAAAUAACAAAACAAGUAUAUACGUCGUUCAGCUACCAAAAGCCUAUAUCCACGGACACAAAACCUUAAAGGCUGCGGUCUUGUUUGUUUGAUGGUAAGUUAGCUAAGGAACUUCAAGUUCCCAGGAAGCGUCAAAAUGAAGCUUGUUUGGUUAGCCAUUUUUAUAAAGUUUGCAGAAAGUGAAGCACCUCACUUCCUAACCAUGCAGGAAUUUAAGUUCCUGAGCCCAACCUAGUUAAGUAAGUUCCUGAGCCCAACCUAGUUAAGUAAGUUCCCUCGCUCUUGCCCUUGCUUUAUGAGAUUUGGUUAGCCAUGUUUACCCUUACUCUAGCAUUAUAUCAAUUAAGUAGAGUAGGGAUAUUCAUAAACACAAUUUUACUUCUUGGGAAUUUAGCAUACCAACCAAACAUAUUUAAACCACACUUCUUGGAAAGUAACUUCCCUGAAAGUGUACUUCUCGAGAAGUUCACUUGCUAGGAAAUAGACCAUUUUGAACCAAA